UUUGAAGCGUAUGAUUGGUGAAAGGUAUGUAGGUAGUAUAUGAUUGGUGGAAGGUAUGUUGGUAGUGUAUGAUUGGUGGAAGGUAUGUUGGUAGUGUAUGAUUGGUGAAAGGUAUGUUGGUAUUGUAUGAUUGGUGGAAUGUGUGUUUGAAGCAUAUGAUUGGUGGAAGGUAUGUAGGUUGUAUAUGAUUGGUGGAAGGUAUGUUGGUAGUGUAUGAUUGGUGGAAGGUAUGUUGGUAGUGUAUGAUUGGUGGAAUGUGUGUUUGAAGCAUAUGAUUGGUGGAAGGUAUGUAGGUUGUAUAUGAUUGGUGGAAGGUAUGUUGGUAGUGUAUGAUUGGUGGAAGGUAUGUUGGUAGUGUAUGAUUGGUGGAAGGUAUGUUGGUAGUGUAUGAUUGGUGGAAGGUAUGUUGGUAUUGUAUGAUUGGUGGAAUGUGUGUUUGAAGCAUAUGAUUGGUGGAAGGUAUGUAGGUAGUAUAUGAUUGGUGGAAGGUAUGUUGGUAGUGUAUGAUUGGUGGAAGGUAUGUAGGUAGUGUAUGAUUGGUGGAAGGUGUGUUGGUAGUGUAUGAUUGAUGGAAGGUGUGUUGGUAGUGUAUGAUUGAUGGAAGGUGUGUUGGUAGUGUAUGAUUGAUGGAAGGGAUGUUGGUAUUGUAUGAUUGGUGGAAUGUGUGUUUGAAGCAUAUGAUUGGUGGAAGGUAUGUUAGCAGUGUAUGAUUG